UCAACUUGAGAGUUUGAUCCUGGCUCAGAACGAACGCUGGCGGCAGGCCUAACACAUGCAAGUCGAGCGCACUCUUCGGAGUGAGCGGCGGACGGGUUAGUAACGCGUGGGAAUGUACCCUUUUCUACGGAAUAGCCUCGGGAAACUGAGAGUAAUACCGUAUACGCCCUUCGGGGGAAAGAUUUAUCGGAGAAGGAUCAGCCCGCGUUAGAUUAGAUAGUUGGUGGGGUAAUGGCCUACCAAGUCUACGAUCUAUAGCUGGUUUUAGAGGAUGAUCAGCAACACUGGGACUGAGACACGGCCCAGACUCCUACGGGAGGCAGCAGUGGGGAAUC
rnacentral:rRNA from 1 species